CCUACGGGUGGCAGCAGUGGGGAAUAUUGCACAAUGGGGGAAACUCUGAUGCAGCGACGCCGCGUGAGUGAAGAAGUAUUUCGGUACGUAAAGCUCUAUCAGCAGGGAAGAAAAUGACGGUACCUGACUAAGAAGCCCCGGCCAACAACGUGCCAGUAGCCGCGGUAAUACGUGGGGGGCAGGCGUUCUCCGGAUUUACUGGGGGUAAAGGGAGGGUAGAAGGCAGCUCAAGUCUGGAGUGAAAUACCGAGGCUUAACCAUGGAACUGCUUUGGAAACUGUGCAGCUGGAGUGCAGGAGAGGUAAGUGGAAUUCCUAGUGUAGCGGUGAAAUGCGUAGAUAUUAGGAGGAACACCAGUGGCGAAGGCGGCUUACUGGACUGUAACUGACGUUGAGGCUCGAAAGCGUGGGGAGCAAACAGGAUUAGAUACCCGAGUAGUC
rnacentral:rRNA from 1 species